UUAAUAUUAUUAUUCUAUGCGAUUAUUUUUUUGAAUUUGCCGCCACGAACUUCUCCGCCGUCGCCGCCGUCAAAAUGGCCGGUGUGGAAACUGGAGGAGAAGGAGUUAUGGAUUCCACGAAGAAGAAGCGUAAGAGAAAUAGAGGCAAAAGCAAAACUCCGGAACCCCGAAAAGGUGAUGAGAUGGAAGCCGAAGACGACGAAGUAGAGAAAGAGGUUGAGGAAGAAGAAGUGGCGGUGGAGGAGAAGAUGAAAGAGAAGAAAAGGAAAAAGGAAAUCGAGACAGCUGUAGAAGAAGAGAGAAAGGUAGAAGAGGAGAGUGGUUUCAAGGUGAAUCCGCCGUC
rnacentral:lncRNA from 1 species